rnacentral:rRNA from 1 species
GACGUAGGGCGCGAGCGUUGUCCGGAUUUAUUGGGCGUAAAGAGCUCGUAGGCGGCUUGUUGCGUCGACCGUGAAAACCCAGGGCUCAACUUCGGGCUUGCGGUCGAUACGGGCGGGCUAGAGUUCGGUAGGGGAGACUGGAAUUCCUGGUGUAGCGGUGAAAUGCGCAGAUAUCAGGAGGAACACCGGUGGCGAAGGCGGGUCUCUGGGCCGAUACUGACGCUGAGGAGCGAAAGCGUGGGUAGCAAACAGG